rnacentral:misc_RNA from 1 species
GCAAAGACAUCCAACUCUGACUACGACCCCUCACAGCGCAGGCCGCAAGACAGUGGUGACUGGUGACGACUCCUGUCAAAAUAACUUUCCACUCUUCACUAACAGUAAUUCAAACCAGCCAUAAUGUGGUGACAGCAAGCAAACAGCCGUGAUGCAGCACUAGCCUGGGCCAGAAUAUUGCGGGAGGGUCAGGAUGAGGGCAGGGAGUGGCGAGAGAGGAGGAUGGACUUCAGUAAGCAGGUCCGUGUGUGUCAGUGCUUCAGAGGAGAGAGUGAGGCAUCAGGUGGAGAAGAAGAGUCUGAAGGUCGGUACUUUUCAACUGAAUGUUUCCCUCUGCAACUUGUGAGUACUUUGAGACCUUGUUACCUGCUGGAGAGAUAUGGAUGGGCAAUGGCUCACUCAUCCUUACCUGUAUUGUUCUGAUUGAACUCUCAUCUAGCAGUUGAGUGGCACACAAGAGCAGCUGGUCAUGGUGUUAUGCUUCAUUGUAUCAGAUUUACAAGAUGACCAUUUACUUCUUUGUCCUCUCACCUUGUUUCAGGUGUGGCAGUGAGUUCAGAUGGAAGGGUCACCUCACACAACACAUGAAGAGAGUCCACAACCUAGAGAAAAGUUUCUUCUGUGACAAGUGUGGUGGAGGUUUCUUCAGAAAGAAGUGCCUAAUUAAACACAAAUUUGUAUGCUGUUUUAGAAAGAGAGAACAGAAUUGCAGUGGUGAUGAUAUAAAGUUUACAUCAAAGAACCAACUAGAAGCAACAAAGAAUCCCACGAAGGCGGAGCUGUAUGUGUGUGAGCAGUGCGACAAAGUCUUCACCCACAAGAGUCACCUCACUCUGCAUGUCAACAAGCGGCAUCAGGGAAUGAGCAAGCACACCUGUCCUGAGUGUGGCAGGUCCUUCAGCCAGCGGGACCAUCUCAACGUGCACAUGAAUUCCUGCACCAAAUAGUGGAGGCUGGCAGCUGUUGGUGUGUUGUGGGACAUGCGGCAGCAGACUAGGGCUGUUUCACCACUGCCAGGUGAGAUGGUGGUGUGGGCCGUGCCAGCUUAGCACAUCCACCACCUUGGUGAUGGAUGGAAGAGAGGUCAAGCAGACAGACAUACUCUGUAUUGCUAAAGGAACAUGUGUAGAUAUGCCAUGUCCAUUCAUUCCCAGCUUGCUACAGGAGCCUUGAGUUGCUGUUGCACCCUUGUUCCUGAUUGGAUAGUGCCUCUUCUAACCUCAUCACUGAUUGGCCCUUAGCUCAGUGACUCUGUCUCCCACUUAGCACCGAUGCUGGACUUUCCACACUACAGGUUAUGCUUUUAUUGAUAUUGAACAGAAUGAUGAUACAGUAAUCUUCAGUAUGAAAAGAUUUGAGGUAAGGGUGUAAUUGAAAAUUAUUAAAUCCAAUUAUAUUCUGCGCUGCUUAUUUACAUAAUAAUGUAAGUCAAAUCUGUGAUAUGUGAUGGUGGAAAUUCUCAAGAACAUGAUGAUGUAAGGUUUCCGUUAAAGUGGAAAGGAAGGCUGGUAAACAUUUUUUUAAUCUCAAGCUGCUGGUGUAACAAUGCCAGUUGUGUGUGUAUGUCCUGACAUUGCCAAGAUGCUGUCUGUCAUCUUGUGUCUGCAGCUUGGAAUAAAAUGUUGCUUGCUGCCUUUUUCUGCCUUUCUUGAAUCUACUAACACCAUUAUGUUUGAAAAAGAAACCUGGGGCCGUAUUCUACAAACUGUUAUAGCGAGAUAAAAUGGUGUAUUUUAAAUGCAAGUCCAUGUAUGAUGUAGUCAUAAGUGGUAAGACAGGGUUAAACCUGUUAUAGCACAGCCAAUGACCAUCUUAACUCUUGUCAGCAUUGUGGAAAUGUGGCUGUGUAUACCAUAACACAAUCCCCAACAGUUUUUAUUAUUAAUUUAAUGAUAAAUAUCAAUAAUGAUGAAUAAUUAUGUCUGUCUUUGAUGCAGUAAUGUAUUAUUAUAAAUAACUGCCAGGAGGGGUAUGAUCAAACAAAUCUUGCCCCACAUGGCCCA